rnacentral:rRNA from 1 species
CUACGGGUGGCACCAGUGGGGAAUAUUGCACAAUGGGCGAAAGCCUGAUGCAGCAACGCCGCGUGAGGGAUGAAGGCCUUCGGGUUGUAAACCUCUUUUAGCAGGGAAGAAGCGAAAGUGACGGUACCUGCAGAAAAAGCACCGGCUAACUACGUGCCAGCAGCCGCGGUAAUACGUAGGGUGCAAGCGUUGUCCGGAAUUAUUGGGCGUAAAGAGCUCGUAGGCGGUUUGUCGCGUCUGCUGUGAAAAUCCGAGGCUCAACCUCGGACCUGCAGUGGGUACGGGCAAACUAGAGUGCGGUAGGGGAGAUGGGAAUUCCUGGUGUAGCGGUGGAAUGCGCAGAUAUCAGGAGGAACACCGAUGGCGAAGGCACAUCUCUGGGCCGUAACUGACGCUGAGGAGCGAAAGCGUGGGGAGCGAACAGGAUUAGAUACCCCUGUAGUC